rnacentral:tRNA from 1 species
AGGUCUUAGCUUAAUUAAAGCGAAUGAUUUGCAGUCAUUAGAUGUGGGAAGAAGUCUUACAGUCCUUAG